CAGGCUGGUAUUGAACUUCUAACAUCAGGUGAUCCAUCUGCCUCAUCCUCGCAAAGUUCUGGGAUUACAAGCAUGAGCCACUGCGCCCAGCCAUGGUUCCUGACUACACCUUUGGUGCUCUUACUUGGAAAUUCACUUAUUGGAUGGGAAAGCUCAAGGCAUCACAUGUAUUAUUAAAAUGAAGCUGAUAAAACUAUAGAAAAACAAAAAGUCUGAGGACAGAGAAGUGAACAAGAGUGGCAUAAUGUCAGUUUGUGUGGAUCUUACAUUCCAGUGGAAGACAAAAGAGAACAUCUAAAACUAGAGAAAGAAGAAUUAACUGCUAUGCAGAUAAUUGAGACCAAUGAUGUCAUGGUGUAUAUCUGAGUGACUGCCUUGUGGAUAAAUGGCCUUGAAAGAACCAGUAAUGUGAAAAUGAAGAGAAAGAACUUUCAAGGCAGAGGUAACACUUGUGUGAAGACCAUAAAUUUAAAAUAAAGAAGUUGCAUAAUUGAAUAACUAGAAAGUU
rnacentral:lncRNA from 13 species